AUCUAUAGAACACAAUAUUGCUAUGCUGCGAUCACGUGGACAUGAAGAGGUAACUGAACUGUUCGUUGAGUGAUCGUUAUUCUAGUUCCAAACUAACAUGCUAUAAGUAAAAUUGACCAAAAAUUGUAAAAAAUGUUGAUCAUACCACAAAUGAUUUUCAUUUUUAGCUUUUUAUUUAUCGCGCAACAUAAAACAAUAUUGUGGGUUGUACCACAUACACUAUGUAUUCACAUGAUACACCAUACAGCUACAAAGAGAGACUGAACAAAACAAAACAACUUUUUACAUACUGCAUACUUGACGUGAAAAAAUAGAACCAAGAACAAUCUUUGAACUCAAAAAGGAAUGUAGCUGCCAGUUGUGGUGUUUAGUUUGUUUUCUGUUUAUUUGGGGCAGGAUUUAAGCUUGAGCCCAGCUUGAGAACUGAGAGGGGGGUAUAAAUGGUGAUAAUAUUUGUGUGUGUGUUUAUGAGAAAGAGAAAGGGGGACAGAGAGAGGGGGAGGGAGAGAGGGGGGGAUGAGGGAGAGAAGGAGAAAAGGAUAGAGAGAGAGAGCUGGAAAGUAUGUGAGAAAAUAUGUGAGAUGUGUAAGCAGUUAGUGAGUGUAUAAGUACGUAAGAAAAUAAGUGCAUGAGGGAGAAAAAUAGCGUGGGAGUACACAAUUGUUCCAAUAUUGUUCCAAUAUUUUAACAUUCUCCCCUCACCAUUAAAAUGUACAACAUACCCAAAACAGUAAUGUUUAAUAGAAUAGCUUCCGCACAUACACUGCAACAAGUUUUCAAUUAAGAUAACAGUCUGUUCACUGCAAUAUAAUAUGAUCAUUCAAUCCCCAUACCAGUUAAAAGUACCUUAUGGGGACAAGGAUUAAUAAAAGUGUAUGUAUGAAAUGUGUGAGUGCUUCAAUUCAACAGUUGUCUUUUUUUGUUUUGUUCACUGCCUUGAACAUGAAUGGGACGUUCCCAUAAGAUCAGCACCGGAGCAGUUCCCCAUCCACUGAAACUGACAUAUUUAAAAUAAUAGUUCCUCUUAUCAUUCUAAGCGCUCUAAAAAAUAUCAGUGAUAUAACCCCCCUCCAACACACACACACUAUUCCACGGGGGGCACCAGCCUCCUUUGAGCAUGUUUCUGUUAUUUCCAUAACAUCUUGUAUAGAAAUGUACAAAAUUCAUCUGAAGAAUAUAACGACCGGCACCCAUUAUUACAUACGGAUCAUAAAUAUGACUGAAUCAUUAUAACUGUGUGUGACUCAUGCAUUGUCGUUUUUUUAAAGGGGGGAGUUUGUUCUUAAAGUGAGAAUAGAAUAGAACAGUUGAAACAGGAUCAUGAGUAGUUGUGAGACAAAGGAACAGGCAUAUUUUCCAGCCCAGUCCCUAAAUUAGUCAAAGUCCUGUUGGUCAUGUCUGUGACAAUCUAUGACAAUUAACAAAAUACAAUAUUACAAACUAUACUACCAGGUAUUACCUGGUGUCUUCCAGUAAUACACUGUACCUUCAGUCUGGUACUACAAGUGUUUAAGUUGACAUGGUUUUUCAUUAGGGUUACAUCGUUUACUACUGUUAUAAUCACUAUCGUUGAUAAUAAUAACCAACAACCACAUUAAAAAAUGAGUUACGGCGGUGGCAACCUCUCACCUCAUAGUCUAACACAAUGAACAAUAUCGAUGGCUGGGGCUACACCUCACCUCUGUCACUAGAGUUCUCUCACACAUUUCUGAUGAGUUUGAUUCUGCACCUGUUUGAUUCUCUUGUUUAAGAAAAAAAAAAAAAAAAAAAAACAUAUUUGGCUCUAUUCAUCCGUAUCGUUUGAAGCGUAAUGAUUUCGUGUUAGAAACGUAGUCAUUUCGAUUGCGCCGACAUGAGAUGCAUUUAGCGGGAAUGCCGUCUCUUCCAACACCAGACCGUUGCGUUUAAAUUUCAAUUGGGCUUUACCACUGAUUCCUGCGAUACGGAUUGAUUACAGAGCCCUUCGUUUUAGCAUGGUUCUCAGAAAGGAUAGCUAGAUAUCAUAACUCAGGUUUAUAGCCACCUGUUACUGAUUAGGUCUAUCUUUCUCACAAAGGGGG
rnacentral:lncRNA from 1 species